GAGCAAACAGGAUUAGUUACCCUGGUAGUCCACGCCCUAAACGAUGUCAACUAGUUGUUGGGGAUUCAUUUCCUUAGUAACGUAGCUAACGCGUGAAGUUGACCGCCUGGGGAGUACGGUCGCAAGAUUAAAACUCAAAGGAAUUGACGGGGACCCGCACAAGCGGUGGAUGAUGUGGAUUAAUUCGAUGCAACGCGAAAAACCUUACCUACCCUUGACAUGCCACUAACGAAGCAGAGAUGCAUUAGGUGCUCGAAAGAGAAAGUGGACACAGGUGCUGCAUGGCUGUCGUCAGCUCGUGUCGUGAGAUGUUGGGUUAAGUCCCGCAACGAGCGCAUCCCAUGUCUCUAGUUGCUACGAAAGGGCACUCUAGAGAGACUGGCGGUGACAAACCGGAGGAAGGUGGGGAUGACGUCAAGUCCUCAUGGCCCUUAUGGGUAGGGCUUCACACGUCAUACAAUGGUGCAUACAGAGGGUUGCCAAGCCGCGAGGUGGAGCUAAUGCCAGAAAAUGCAUCGUAGUCCGGAUCGUAGUCUGCAACUCGACUACGUGAAGCUGGAAUCGCUAGUAAUCGCGGAUCAGCAUGCCGCGGUGAAUACG
rnacentral:rRNA from 1 species